rnacentral:rRNA from 1 species
GACGAACGCUGGCGGCGUGGAUUAGGCAUGCAAGUCGAACGGUAUCAUCCUUUCGGGGGUGAGAGAGUGGCGAACUGGUGAGUAACACGUAGGUUAUCUACCCUCAAGACGGGGACAACCCAGGGAAACUUGGGCUAAUACCGGAUGUGAGCAACUUUUAGUUGUUUGAAAGGUGGCGUAAGCUGUCGCUUGGGGAUGAGCCUGCGUCCUAUUAGUUAGUUGGUGAGGUAACGGCUCACCUAGGCAAUGAUAGGUAGGCGGCCUUAACGGGUGGUCGCCCACACUGGGGAUUGAGAUACGGCCCAGACUCCUACGGGAGGCAGCAGUCGAGAAUAGUCUACAAUGGUCGGAAGACUGAUAGUGCGACGCCGCGUGAACGAUGAAUCCCUUCGGGGUGUAAAGUUCUUUUAUAUGUGAGCAGUGCUUCUUAUAUUAACAGUAUGGGGAGAGAGAUAUUAGCAUAUGAAUAAGCAAGGCUAACUCCGUGCCAGCAGCCGCGGU